GAGGAAAGAGGGAGGAGGGAAGAAUACAGGAAAGUCGAGCGAACAGACGAGGAGCUUGCUCCUUUGACGUUAGCGGCGGACGGGUGAGUAACACGUAGGUAAAAUACCUAUAAGACUGGGAUAACUUCGGGAAACCGGAGCUAAUACCGGAUAAUAUUUCGAACCGCAUGGUUCGAUAGUGAAAGAUGGCUUUGCUAUCACUUAUAGAUGGACCUGCGCCGUAUUAGCUAGUUGGUAAGGUAACGGCUUACCAAGGUAACGAUACGUAGCCGACCUGAGAGGGUGAUCGGCCACACUGGAACUGAGACACGGUCCAGACUCCUACGGGAGGCAGCAGUAGGGAAUCUUCCGCAAUGGGCGAAAGCCUGACGGAGCAACGCCGCGUGAGUGAUGAAGGUCUUCGGAUCGUAAAACUCUGUUAUUAGGGAAGAACAAACGUGUAAGUAACUGUGCACGUCUUGACGGUACCUAAUCAGAAAGCCCCGGCUAACUACGUC
rnacentral:rRNA from 1 species